rnacentral:misc_RNA from 1 species
GAAAUGCGAUAAGUAGUGUGAAUUGCAGAAUUCAGUGAAUCAUCGAAACUUUGAACGCACAUUGCGCCCUUUGGUAUUCCUUAGGGCAUGCCUGUUCGAGCGUCAUCUAAACCUUCAAGCCCUGCUUGGUGUUGGGUGCCUGUCCCGCCUCCGCGCGCGGACUCACCUCAAAUCCAUUGGCGGCCCCCGCGUCGGCCACGAGCGCAGCAGAAACGCGAACUCGUGAGCCCGUCCGGGCGGCUCCCAGAAGCUACACCCACCCAGUUUGACCUCGGAUCAGGUAGGGAUACCCGCUGAACUUAAGC